rnacentral:rRNA from 1 species
UACGUAGGGGGCAGGCGUUGUCCGGAUUUAUUGGGCGUAAAGAGCGUGUAGGCGGCUGGGUAGGUCCGCUGUGAAAACUCGAGGCUUAACCUCGAGACGUCGGUGGAAACCAUCCAGCUAGAGUCCGGAAGAGGAGAGUGGAAUUCCUGGUGUAGCGGUGAAAUGCGCAGAUAUCAGGAAGAACACCCGUGGCGAAAGCGGCUCUCUGGGACGGUACUGACGCUGAGACGCGAAAGCGUGGGGAGCGAACAGG